UGUCGUAACAAGGUUUCCGUAGGUGAACCUGCGGAAGGAUCAUUCACACGAAUCCAACCAAACCAUUGUGCAUCAUCAGAUGUGAGUUUCCCACGUGGGGAUGCGUGGUGCCUCGGGCCCGGCUCUUCUUGAAGGGUUGGUUCGACCUUGGCCCCGGCCCUUGCGUGGAAUUCUCAAGGGUGGUGGGGUCGGCUCGGAGCGUGUCUCUUUGCCUGAUUGCCUGCCACCGGUUUUCUUUCAACUUCGAAUCACUGUCAGCUUGUAUCGCUUGCUUGUGCCUUGUGCGCAGCUUUCGUUACUUACAACUUUCAGCGACGGAUGUCUCGGCUCGAACAACGAUGAAGGGCGCAGCGAAGUGUGAUAAACAUUGUGAAUUGCAGAAUUCCGUGAACCAAUAGGACCUUGAACGCAAUCUGCACUGUCGGGAUAUGCCUGACAGUAUGCCUGCUUCAGUGUCUUAUUUCUUUCGUGCAAAUCCGUUUGCGUGUCUGCGUGUCAGGGCGUGUCUCUCUCUUUCGGGAGUUGGGUUCACCCUUGACGCGUGAAGUUUAUUGGGGUCACCACGACGAGCAACUGAACAGACACUUCAUGUGUAUUUGUUUUUUUGCCUCGCCGUUGGUUGGCAACUUUUGUCGCUUCCCGAUGGCGGUUCGCUUCCAUCCAAGACAUGAAGUCAGGUGAGAAAACCCGCUGAAUUUAAGCAUAUAAGUAAGCGGAGGAAGAGAAACUAAAUAGGAUUCCCUUAGUAAUGGCGAAUGAACAGGGAUCAGCUCAGAGUGAAAAUCGGGGCCCUAGGCCUUGAAUUGUAGUCUCGAGAGGGGUUGCCAAUGGAGGCGCAGAUAUAAGCCUCUUGGAAAAGAGCAUCGGAGAGGGUGAGAGUCCCGUCUUGUGAUCUGCAGUCCUCUAUGUACGGCACUUCUUCUAUGAGUCACGUUCCUCGGGAUUGGAGCGCAAAGUGGGUGGUAGAUUUCAUCUAAAGCUAAAUAUAGGUUCGAGACCGAUAGCAAACAAGUACCAUGAGGGAAAGAUGAAAAGGACUUUGAAAAGAGAGUUAAAAGUGCCUGAAAUCGCUGAAAGGGAAGCGAAUGGACCCAGUCUGUCUCGGCAAGUUUUUCGCAGGCCAAAGUGAUGGCUCGGUGAAUCAGCGCAAGCGUUUCAUUGGGUUCUGAACUUGACGCCUGUGUGUCACUUGCCUUGCAUGUCAACGUCUGUCCGAGGUUGAGGAAAACUCUUAGCGGGUGGUAACUUAGCUGCGGCUGUGUGAGAUUCCGUUAGGUUGGACUCAUCCUUGAACAGAAGCUUGCGUGUGAGAGACUCGUGCUCUUCCGCGAUUCCUUGUUUCGUCUUUCGUUUCCACGAGGGAUGUUACUCGGGGUCGAGGGGGACGCGUUCUCACUCAAAGACGAUGACGAAAUGGUUUCAUCCGACCCGUCUUGAAACACGGACCAAGGAGUCUAACAUAUGUGCGAGUUCACGGGUGGUAAACCUGCCAGCGUAAUGAAAGUGACUGCUGGGAUAUUUGCACCAGCAACCGACCGAUCAAUCGAGUGAGGUUUGAGUAAGAGCAUAUCUGUUAGGACCCGAAAGAUGGUGAGCUAUGCGUGA
rnacentral:rRNA from 1 species